CGCGUAGGCGGGAUGGCAAGUCGGUCGUGAAAUCCUUCGGCUCAACCGAAGAACGUCGGCCGAUACUGCCGUUCUUGAGGGAUGCAGAGGAGAUUGGAAUUCCCGGUGUAGCGGUGAAAUGUGUAGAGAUCGGGAGGAACACCGGUGGCGAAGGCGGGUCUCUGGGCAUCUCCUGACGCUGAGGCGCGAAAGCGUGGGAGCAAACCG
rnacentral:rRNA from 1 species